UGGGGAAUAUUGGACAAUGGGCGCAAGCCUGAUCCAGCCAUGCCGCGUGAGUGAUGAAGGCCCUAGGGUUGUAAAGCUCUUUCACCGGUGAAGAUAAUGACGGUAACCGGAGAAGAAGCCCCGGCUAACUUCGUGCCAGCAGCCGCGGUAAUACGAAGGGGGCUAGCGUUGUUCGGAAUUACUGGGCGUAAAGCGCACGUAGGCGGAUUGUUAAGUUAGGGGUGAAAUCCCAGGGCUCAACCCUGGAACUGCCUUUAAUACUGGCAAUCUUGAGUUCGAGAGAGGUGAGUGGAAUUCCGAGUGUAGAGGUGAAAUUCGUAGAUAUUCGGAGGAACACCAGUGGCGAAGGCGGCUCACUGGCUCGAUACUGACGCUGAGGUGCGAAAGCGUGGGGAGCAA
rnacentral:rRNA from 1 species